rnacentral:lncRNA from 1 species
AACUGUUUGUGUGUCACAUCGUGGUGAGGACGGCGGAGUAAAAGGCGCCAGUGUUUAGUUUCUUAAGAAGAAAGAAAGGUCCCAAACUGCUGGAUGUGGUUUUAAAAGCUGGAACAAAGCUACACAGAGCAGGUCGGGGAGAAGAGGAGCAGAGCCGCGAGGAACUUUAACAUGAAGUCUGAGAGGAAGCUGUCAGCGGACCAGGGGACAGCUUUACCUCAAGAUGUUCUGGAAGUGAUUGUUGGAGAAGAGGAGCAGCAGGAGUGGAGCUCCAGUGUGGACCAACAGGAGCCAGAGCCCCCCCCACACAUUAAAGAGGAACAGGAGGAACUGUGGAGCAGUCAGGAGGGAGAGCAGCUUCAAGGGCUGGAGGAGGCUGAUAUCACCAAGUUCCCAUUCACUCCUGU